rnacentral:rRNA from 1 species
UAGGGAAUCUUCGGCAAUGGACGAAAGUCUGACCGAGCAACGCCGCGUGAGUGAAGAAGGUUUUCGGAUCGUAAAACUCUGUUGUUAGAGAAGAACAAGGACGUUAGUAACUGAACGUCCCCUGACGGUAUCUAACCAGAAAGCCACGGCUAACUACGUGCCAGCAGCCGCGGUAAUAUGUAGGUGGCAAGCGUUGUCCGGAUUUAUUGGGCGUAAAGCGAGCGCAGGCGGUUUCUUAAGUCUGAUGUGAAAGCCCCCGGCUCAACCGGGGAGGGUAAUUGGAAACUGGGAGACUUGAGUGCAGAAGAGGAGAGUGGAAUUCCAGGUGUAGCGGUGAAAUGCGUAGAUAUAUGGAGGAAAACCAGUGGCGAAGGCGGCUCUCUGGUCUGUAACUGACGCUGAGGCUCGAAAGCGUGGGGAGCAAACAGG